rnacentral:tRNA from 1 species
GGGCCCGUAGCUCAGUCGGCUAGAGCGCUUGCAUGGCAUGCAAGAGGUCAGGAGUUCAAGUCUCCUCGGGUCCA